UACGAAGGGUGCAAGCGUUACUCGGAAUUACUGGGCGUAAAGCGUGCGUAGGUGGUUCGUUAAGUCUGUCGUGAAAGCCCCGGGCUCAACCCGGUGGAAUGGCGAUGGAUACUGGCGGGCUAGAGUGCGGUAGAGGAGAGUGGAAUUCCCGGUGUAGCAGUGAAAUGCGUAGAUAUCAGGAGGAAUACCGAUGGCGAAGGCAGGUCUCUGGGCUGACACUGACGCUCAUGCACGAAAGCGUGGGGAGCAAACAGG
rnacentral:rRNA from 1 species